UCACUGGUGGACUAGAGGCUAGCAUGUGGCUCUCUCACCACCGUGGCCUGGGUUUGAUUCCCAGUCAGGGAA